UGUUCUGUGGCUUAGUUGGUUAAAGCGCCGGUCUAGCGAAUACGGAGUCGUGGGUUUGAAUCCUACCAGAACGC
rfam:Aedes albopictus isolate Foshan contig162912, whole genome shotgun sequence.